GAUGAACGCUGGCGGCGUGCCUAAUACAUGCAAGUCGAGCGAACGGACGAGAAGCUUGCUUUUCUGAUGUUAGCGGCGGACGGGUGAGUAACACGUGGAUAACCUACCUAUAAGACUGGGAUAACUUCGGGAAACCGGAGCUAAUACCGGAUAAUAUUUUGAACCGCAUGGUUCAAAAGUGAAAGACGGUCUUGCUGUCACUUAUAGAUGGAUCCGCGCUGCAUUAGCUAGUUGGUAAGGUAACGGCUUACUAAGGCAACGAUGCAUAGCCGACCUGAGAGGGUGAUCGGCCACACUGGAACUGAGACACGGUCCAGACUCCUACGGGAGGCAGCAGUAGGGAAUCUUCCGCAAAGGGCGAAAGCCUGACGGAGCAACGCCGCGUGAGUGAUGAAGGUCUUCGGAUCGUAAAACUCUGUUAUUAGGGAAGAACAUAUGUGUAAGUAACUGUGCACAUCUUGACGGUACCUAAUCAGAAAGCCACGGCUAACUACGUG
rnacentral:rRNA from 1 species